rnacentral:rRNA from 1 species
GUCGAGGAUCUUCUGCAAUGGGCGCAAGCCUGACAGAGCGACGCCGCGUGGGGGAGGAAGGCCUUCGGGUUGUAAACCCCUGUUGCCGGUUAAGAAUGCUGGGGUGCAAAUAGCGCUUCCAGUUGACAAAGGCCGGUGAGGAAGCCACGGCUAACUACGUGCCAGCAGCCGCGGUAAUACGUAGGUGGCAAGCGUUGUUCGGAAUCACUGGGCAUAAAGCGCGCGUAGGCGGCUAAGUCAGUCGGGUGUGAAAGCCCUCGGCUCAACCGAGGAACUGCGCUCGAUACUGCUUGGCUUGAGGGUGGGAGGGGAGAGUGGAAUUCCCGGUGGAGCGGUGAAAUGCGUAGAGAUCGGGAAGAACGCCGGCGGCGAAAGCGACUCUCUGGUCCAUUCCUGACGCUGAGGCGCGAAAGCUAGGGGAGCAAACGGGAUUAGAAACCCGGGUAGUCC